rnacentral:rRNA from 1 species
GACGAACGCUGGCGGCGUGCUUAACACAUGCAAGUCGAACGGAAAGGCCCUGCUUUUGUGGGGUGCUCGAGUGGCGAACGGGUGAGUAACACGUGAGUAACCUGCCCUUGACUUUGGGAUAACUUCAGGAAACUGGGGCUAAUACCGGAUAGGAGCUCCUGCUGCAUGGUGGGGGUUGGAAAGUUUCGGCGGUUUGGGAUGGACUCGCGGCUUAUCAGCUUGUUGGGGGGGUAGUGGCUUACCAAGGCUUUGACGGGUAGCCGGCCUGGGAGGGUGACCGGCGACCUUGGGACUGAGGUACGGCCCAGACUCCUACGGGAGGCAGCAGGGGGGAAUAUUGCACAAUGGGCGGAAGCCUGAUGCAGCAACGCCGCGGGCGGGAUGACGGCCUUCGGGUUGUAAACCGCUUUCGCCUGUGACGAAGCGUGAGUGACGGUAAUGGGUAAAGAAGCACCGGCUAACUACGUG